rnacentral:rRNA from 1 species
GAUGAACGCUGGCGGCGUGCCUAAUACAUGCAAGUCGAGCGAAUGGAUUAAGAGCUUGCUCUUAUGAAGUUAGCGGCGGACGGGUGAGUAACACGUGGGUAACCUGCCCAUAAGACUGGGAUAACUCCGGGAAACCGGGGCUAAUACCGGAUAACAUUUUGAACCGCAUGGUUCGAAAUUGAAAGGCGGCUUCGGCUGUCACUUAUGGAUGGACCCGCGUCGCAUUAGCUAGUUGGUGAGGUAACGGCUCACCAAGGCAACGAUGCGUAGCCGACCUGGGAGGGUGAUCGGCCACACUGGGACUGAGACAAGGCCCAGACUCCUACGGGAGGCAGCAGUAGGGAAUCUUCCUCAAUGGACGAAAGUCUGACGGAGCAACGCCGCGUGAGUGAUGAAGGCUUUCGGGUCGUAAAACUCUGUUGUUAGGGAAGAACAAGUGCUAGUUGAAUAAGCUGGCACCUUGACGGUACCUAACCAGAAAGCCACGGCUAACUACGUGCCAGCCGCCGCAGUAA